GUGGGGAGUAAUCAGGUAGGGCAAGAGAUUGGAAAGGGGAACAGAAAGCUCUGGGACGCAGGAUCUCAUUUGUACCAAACCCACCAGCAAGUGCUUUGUGGGCUAACCCAGGAACAGAGAACUCCUGAAGAAUCCAUGCCAGACCUUAUCUAAGCCCUGGUGCAUGCUAGACUCAAACUUUGGAAGUUGUGGUGAGUUACAGAAAGGCUUAUCAGCAACGUUGUUCAUAUUCAAUAACCCUGCUAGCUCUUUACUAAACCUAGUCCUGAUUUUUCAUUUUAAAAAAUUAGAAGACAAGUCUUUUUUUCUGCAUGUUUUUCUUCUUUUGAAAAUUUACAGCUGCUUGAUGAAAAACUGAGUCCCACAAAACGAUGAUCGUCACGGGGUACGUGCUUUUAUUCUUAAAUUCCACACUUUAUGGUGCAAUGUAAAUAGUCUGAUAGACGCGAUGUCACCUUUGCGAAAGGGCCAGAAGAUGAGGCUGAGUGAUGAGGUGAGGCUGCACCAGCAUUUUAUCUUAGGAGGCUGACGUUCAUAUCCUGUUCACCUCACAAGGGAAAGUCACUUGGUGCCCUCACUGUUCAGUAUACUUGAACACAGCAUCUGUCCAGAAAGGCAACACUGGAGGGCCUGGCUUGGCAGAGCCGACGUGCACUGGCAGAGCCGUGUGAGGAUCCAGAACUGGGUACUGCAGGGCAGCACCCAAGAGCCCUUGCGGGACUAUGGGAGCUCAUGAUUGAGGCCUUGCCUUCACAGAGAACACAGGGCAUGCCCUUCACUAACUGGAGUGCCCUUCUGGUGGCACUAGGACCCACGUGGCCUCCCCUCCCACCACCUUGGGGGAAGACGGCAGAGAGGAGACGGCCGAGAGGAGACGGCUAGACACUCCAGCCCAUAGGGACGGAAGCUGCCAAAGCAGGGACCUCUGGACAUUCAGAGAAACUUGUACAGUUCUGACCAGGUUCUCUCAGCCCUAUGCUGUUUGGUUCAGCCCUCCUUUUCUGUCUCUUCACCUCUGCCUAACUCUGCACCUGCCCCUCCUACCCCCCGCCCCCCCAGUUAGCUCUUCCCCUCCUAACUCCCUCCCCCCAAAUCAUGAAACUAAUGUGACAUUUGCUACCACCAUAUUGUUUGCUCUGCCCUCGUGUUCUACCUCUUCCCCUCCCUGUCUGCUCUAUUUAGGUCAUCAGGGGAGGGACCUUCUGGUUUUACCUAGCAUACUGAGGUCCCAUUUUUGUUUGGUUCUUAGGCACUACCACAAUAAACACGAUUCGUAAUCUAGAGAAGAAACUUAGCUUGUAGUUUUCACACGAGUUAGGUCAGGUUAUGACAGAGCCUAGCCUUCAACUCACCCUGGCAAAAAUUCAAAGUGCAAUGUCUUCACCAGGAUUUUACCUCCAGUUACUCACCAGCACCCGUCUUUUCAUAGUGCAGCAAAGGUGAAAACAAGCAGGAGAUACUGCACAGGGGUGUAUUGGCAGAGCUGAGAGAGAGGCAAGGACGGGAAGGGCAGGGAAUGCUGCAGGUCAGGACUGAAGUGGAUUUGCAGUGGUAGAACUGCUGGAGGGCCCAAGUAGCAGGCGUACUGUAGGUGACUGUGUGGGGUAAUGAGACAGCUGGGCAGUGCCUGCCUUCUCAACCUUAUAUUUGACAUUGGGCCUGUAAUCUUACCAGAGUGGCAAAGUUAAAACAAGCUACACUAAUAAAAACAGGAUGAUUGUUCCUAGUGGCACAAAAUGGCCUUUUUCCUAGAAACCAAUUCACAGGCUAAGUAAUGCAAUAACAAUGUUCUCUCCUCUCUCCAAACUGGUUUCCUGUUCUCUCACCCUACAGAACAGAGUUUGGAACCUGCAAGUUCCAAGUCAGUAAAAUUAAGUAACUGUCUCAAGACCAGACCAGUGUAUGCAUCCAACAACUUUGUCUGACAUUUGCAAGUUUCCCACUGUAUCCUCUCCAGGUGUGACUUACUCAGAUAGCUUUACAUUUAAUUGGUUGUGAAUAAAGGUGAAUAUCAGCUGUGAAUUGUGAGACUAAUUAUAGUGCAAUCGGAACUUUGUGAUCUGGCCCUUAAAGCAGGUUAGACCACUCUGACUCAUUUCCGUACAACUAGCACCCUUGGGGUCCAAUCUAGGGCUCUUGAUCCAAAGCAAGCAGGAGUCUUCCCAUUGAGCGUUUAAUGGCCUUUGGAUCAAAAAGUGGUGCAUAUUUCUAUGUUUGUAAAAAGAGUACCACACUCACUAACCUGACAAAUGUAAUCAAAUGGCAUCAGAGGAUCUGAAGAGCAUAUCUUCUGGGUGUGUUAGUUUUCCAUGUAAACAAGCGCAUCUGCUAUUGGACUGAUCCGUGGGAGGUUUCAUACUUAGGUUAUAUGAGAGAACAUGCAGCUGCAUUUGUGUGUGUGUUCUUUCUGGGUCAGCCUCCCUAACUAGCAACACAUUAAACCUUCAUUUUCCCCCCCACACACAAGUGAUUAUCACUGCUUAAUUGUAUUCAAAAGGUGUCCCCGAGACUACAGAUAUCACACAGAUAAUUGAAAUGUACGAGUAAGAUACAUACACCUUUGAACAAUGAAACACUCAGAAAUAAUUCUCCAAUGACGUUACCAAUCAAGUAAUACCAGAUCCAGCCCUGGGGCAGUGAAGAUUCUCACAAUGAGGUUAUGUUUUACACAAGUAAUUCUUUUUCCUCAUAGUAAUGCCUAGCUUAUCAUUAGAUCCCCAAGCAAUCUACAAAGCUUACCAUCGUUAUCCCAAUUUUACAGAUGGGGAAACUGAGGCAGAGAGGGGAAAGUGACUUGCCAAGGGUCAACCAGCAGGCCAGAGCUCACACUAGAACCCAGGUCUCUCCUGACCCACAGUCUAGUGCUCCGUCUGCUAGGCCACACUACCUCUUAGUGGCACUACCCCAGUUUAAACCACUUGACGAUCUGUCCCUUCUAUCUGAUUUGCAUCACUUGUGCAGUGUAUGUCACUGCCCAAUAUUGAGCUAGGAAAUUCUGCUCUUGGCAAUGCAUGCCUUCCCUUUAUGAAUAAUCACCAAAGCCGUAGUCAUCCAAAUAAGCACGCACACCAUUUUAUUUGAUUAGUUGCUUUUUCCUCACACUAUUCUAGUGACAAUUUGUUUACUUUUACCAUGGGCCUGACAAUUGUUAGAGAUGGGACUAAACUGCAAAGUUUGGAUCUGGAUCCAAACUGCCCCAAAGUUUGAGGAGUGUUGGGAUCUGGAGUUCUCGUUCCACGCUAUUUCUAGAGUGUGCUUUUGGCUAUUAGCCCUAUGACAGCACACUUCCUAUGGUAUCCAUUAAGUUUGCCUAGAACUACACCUUGUUUUUCCCUUUAUUCAUCAUUCCUGCAGCCUCUUGGUGGAGGCCACAUUGUCAGCAUGGAAAACAACUUCACACCCUGUUUUCAGGCUGCUGCAAAAAGAGAGUUGCUCCCUAAAUGUGUAAGUUAUUGGAAGCCCUGCCCCUGCAUGCCACAUGUCAAUUCAUGCCUGCUUGAACUGAAUCUUGUGUUUUAUGAAUCAUACAGAGUUCUUACCUUGAGUCACUUGCAAAAAAUCAAUAAGAGGCAGAACAUGAUAUUCAGCGCUUCAUGGCCCAUUCAAGCCUGACCACAUCCUGGUGCAUCAGGCUCUUUCUUUGUUGCACAACUUUUCUUUCAAGUGCUCAAAUAGCAUCAGGAUGGGUGGGGUAGAAAACCCUAGACAGAGAGAACCCUCUGAAAACGUCGUACAACACAGAUGGGGCGCAGAGUAAGUCUGGCUCAUUGAUAUUAAUGGAAGUCAUGCGGCUAAUUCCCUAAACACUGCUUUGAAAGCUAGGCUGAGAGUAGGUACCACCAGUGCAGCCAGUGUGGUUCUUCUUCCAUGUCUGAGAGUGGGCACUUCCAAUAGGAAAAUCAAGUUAUUAAUGUUCACAAAGACUCAACUACGUGCUCACUCUUCUUGCAGAGGUAGUCUUUGCCAAUCAGAACUGAUGCACAUUUUCCCGAUGAACCAGUGAAGUAGGUGAUCAUUACCACCUCUGAUAUUAAGGAGGUGGGAGUGCCUUUCUAGAAAGAAAAGGCAACAUAGGGUGUGGGCAGAGCCAGGAAUCCUAGGAGCUCACAAUGCCCAAGCCUUGCUUUACCGAGCCUGUGUCUUUAACAUACAGCGUUGUCAAUAUGGCACCAUUCACCACCACUGCAAUCACUAAAAAAGUAGAUUUUUUUUACUAUUAUUUGUUCAUAAUGAACCGGACCAGUCAAGAUCUUCUGAGCAAAGGAUUAGCGAAUGCAUCCGAUGAAGUGAGCUGUAGCUCACGAAAGCUUAUACUCAAUAAAUUGGUUAGUCUCUAAGGUGCCACAAGUCCUCCUGUUCUUGUUACACAGUCCUGAGUUCUGCAAGUGGUAUGGUGUCUGGGACUCUCUGGCCAUGGAGGGUGCAGCUGCUAUGACAGUGAAGUCAGUAAAGCGAGUUGAAAUUUUUCUCAUUUCAAAAUGUUGAUGAAAAAUGUCAAAAUGUAAAAAAAGUCAAAAAAAUUCAAUUUUGAGCAGGAAAAGAUUUCAUUCCUCCCCCCACCCCUCUGGUUUUUUAACCCAACUAUAGAGCUGGUCAAAAUUUUUCAAGUGUCAGAAGGUUGACAAAAUUUCAAUAUAAAAACAGAAAAAAAUUGAAACAAAAAUUAUGAUUCCCCUAUCUUACAUUUUCGAGUCAGCUGUAACAUGUAAAAGUUCCUUUUUGCAUGAAUCACUGCCAUGGUGCCACUUGCCCUGUGCAUUACAGACUGUAUGACCUAUACAACAUAGAAAUCGAUGUGUUAGUGGAAAGCAAGGUUGUUACCGAAAUCCCAGAAACACUUUGCUGGAUAAUUGAUUGAUUUACAAAGGGCACACAUACACGCUAUAUGGAAUACAGAGAACACUAAGUAAUUGACCACUAAAACGCAAAUAUCUCUGGAAGUAAAAUCUCUCAUAAAAUAUUUGGAUGGUUUGUUCUUGUCUGUGUUUUAUAUUUCUCUAAAUGGUAAGGAGGGGGACAGGUUACUAAUUGCAAGUUGAUCCCUCUCUACCCCCGCCCCGCAUGCUUGAAGUCAGUGAACAAUAUUGGCAGAUCACAUUGCAGAAUAAACCUAGUCCCCACCAAAAAGCAAAUGCACUUAGUCAGUGAAGAUUUGUCCCCCCAACACUUUCUCAAUUUGGCUGAUGUAAAACAUCAUACUGAUCCAUUACAUUGGCUCUUUGCUCCAAAGUCCUUUCUCCAAAGCCCCCUUCCUUUCCCAAUACUUCCUUUACGGGGCAAUGUCUAUGCUCGUUGCCCUGUGUUUCCUCACUGCCCCAUUAUUUACAAAACCUCUCUCCUCAUCUUCUCCUUCUACUAUAUUUACUACACUAUGCUUUGUGCCAAACUAAACAGUUACAUUUGAGACUGUUACUCAUGCUGAGCCAAGUAUUCUGCAAGACAUUCCCUACCGAUUUGCACUUGCCAGUCUUGAUGCUGAAAGGGAUUGGAAUGGAAAGGUUACAUGGAUUGUAAAAGGACAUUUUUAUAAAAGGAAUCCAAACCCAUGUGCCUUGCCCUUUUCAGAAGACACCCACCCGGGAACAGAAUGGAGUGACUCACAGGCAAGUUCUUACUGGCGUGUCGGGUGUGCGAGCAUGUAGAGGGGAUGCAGGGAGAGGCUGCUAGCAGCCUGUUUGAUGGCAACUUGCAUGCUUGGUAGUCUUAGGAACAAUGGCUCUAAACAUGGCCUGAAGCCCUCCCGCCUCAGGCUAGGACUUGUCAGUUCUCACAAGCGAAGCAGGAGUAGGUGUGGUCAGUGUUUGGAUGCGAGACCUCAGAGGUUCUACAGAAGUGGUGUCUGAGUCAAUAUUGAACCAGCACUCAAGCAUAGAGUUAGGAGGCUGCUGUGCUAUUUUAGGUUCCAUCCAUUGGAUGAGAUAUAAAAUUUACAGCAUGGUCUUGUGUGGUCAUUGAAGAGUCAGUGGCAGUUUUUGGAAGAGGUUUUAUCCAGUGUCCUAGCCAAGUGCAAAUAACCACUGUACAGGUUCUCCCUACUUUAAUUGCCCCUGUAAUCUGAACAGAACACACGCUGUUCUUUGCUUCCUGACCUAAACAAUUACAUGGUAUUGUUCCGGACUAUUUAUCAGCAGUGCCUCAGAGAUGGCUGCAUUUGACUGGGAGAUAAGGAAAUGCCUGCAUGUGUAUCAUUUGUACAAUGCUCCUGCUGAGUAAAAGGUGCUUUUGAAAUUCAAGAUAUAAUCGGUGCAUAGUUGAGCAGGUUUCCCUGCAUGCAUCUUACCAUACUUUGCCCAGCAUGCUACCAGCCUCCAACUCCACUGGCACAAAUCGUGAAUUCACGCUGGCCAAUUUUAAAGGAGGAAUUAUCAAAGUUUGCACACUCAUUUGCUUGCCCCUAACUGGCCACAUGUGUGUUAGUACUUCAUUUGCAGUGCACGUCUGGAAUUUGCAUGCCUGAGUUAUAUGCAAGCAUCUCUCACAGGCCAUGGUGCAAAAGGAUGAGCUAGUCUGGAGCUUGGGUGUCUCCCAGUAACUUCUUCCUUUGAUCUCCCAUUGGGCUUACUGUCCCUAUCGACCUGACAGCAAUGCCAGGCCAAGUGCAUGCACUCUCUGGCCAAGGUUGUGAGCAUCUCUAUUUUUGGUGUCCAACUUGAGCCACCUUAAAAGGGUGAGGUUUUCAGACAGCGUUUGCUCAGCUCUUUCUGAAAGUCAUGCCCUUUCUCAAACGGGCACCUCAAAAUGGAAGCACCCAAACUUGUUUGUCACUUUCCUGAAUCAGCCAAGCCUGGCUGUCUCCCUCACGCCAUUUUCCUCUAUGGCGCCUGUUCCAACAUCUUCUAAAAGAUGUUUCAAAUGCUGUCGUACUGGCUCAGCUGGUGAGCUUAACACUGUACAGCAUUUGGAGAUAUGGUAAAUAGGCAGAGAAAAGAAAUCAUUACAAAUCCAACAAACUAAUUCUCUGUCAUAUGCUAAAGGACUCAAUCGAAAGGUCACCAUUCUCUAUUACGUUCAAUAGGGCUUUUCUAGAAGGGACUGAAGGCCUCCUCCUGGGUGAUGGAACGUGGUCCGUCAGCCUAAAACCCUGGAGAUCAUCAUCCAUAAUUUCAGUCUCCUAUAAGUUCUCUUUAAGGGGGUGGGUGGGAAGUGUCUGCAGGACAUUUAGGAGUUUUUGCUUCUAUAGAGCUCAGUCCAACUUCAUUUACGUCAACUGAGAAGUUCCUUUUCGCUUUAGUGUCUGUUGGAUCCGGCCUCUAGCUACCAAAACUUCAAGAGAACUAGCAUCUGGGGAUCCAAAUUUCUGCCCACUUAGCUAACAAAGCAUAUACUUGUUUAUUUAAAACAUUAUUGUUAUGAACUAGUUAUACAGUAAUUACUCCUAAUAAAACAUUUACUUAAAGUUACUGCACACUAUUACUGACUCCAAUGGGCCUUGGAUCAGGGCCUUAUUUCCUGUAAUUAGAUAGAAAUAAGUAUAGGAUAAAGCUGUGAUAUCUCAGAUACCAGUGUUUAUACUAAACAAACUGUGGGUAAGCGCUGGCUUUUGAAAGUGGCCCAAUGAAAAAUAAAAACAGAUGUUAGAUAGUUCAGAGAUAAAGUUACAAAACCACUGUUUGAAAUUUAGGAAGUUGCAAAAAAGACCAGGAAGUUGAAACAUGAGCAUUGGGAGAUGGCAGCCAUUUUGAAAUAUGAGAAUUUUGUGAGAGUUUCUCUAAAGUACACCAUGAGGGAAUUUCUUUUAAGAAUUUGCCUUUUAAAGUCACUCAGCUGGGACCAGAAACACUAAUGUGCAUUAAUCAGAAUUAUUGCAUGGCUCCACACUGCAGGGGUAGAGAGGUGGGAUCUGUACCCUACCUGCCCGGAGAACCCACUUCACCCUUACUUAUGUAGGAAGGGAGGCAAUGGCUCACUGGAGAUUCUUCUGAGCUGUGAGGCACAGCAUUAAGUAAUCUGUGAAAUUCAGUAAGGAGGUCUUCCCACCCCGCUACAACCCUGCAUGGAUGUAUAACCUAGAGGACCAUCUUACUGAAAGGAAGACAAGCUGUUGGGAUAUGGGGGUAAGAGGCUGAAACCUACUGAAGAAUAUAAGGCUAGACACAACAGCCCUAUAUUUGAGGGACUAUUUUCCCCUCUAGCUUAUUGGGCCAAAUUCAGCCUUGAUGUAGUUCUAAGGAACUCAGGGAGUUGUUCCUGGGAUGAGUGUGCCCUGUUAUUUCAAAUGUUCCAAUUAUAAGAGUUUAGACUAGGAGGAAUUAAAAAUAGUUAAACCUCACUUAAUUAUUUUGGUCUCUCUUUUGUCUACAGGAGGUUACAUCAGAGAAAAAACUUAGUGUUUAUGGAUAAAGUCCCCCGUGAAACUCAGUGACAUAGUCACAGCACUGUUGGAAGUUCUAUACCAGUGGUUCUCAGCCAGGGGUAUGCAUACCCUUUGGGAUAUGCAGCAGUCUUCCAGGGGGUACAUCAACUCAUCUAGAUAUUUGCCUAGUUUUACGACAGGCUAUAUAAAAAGUCCUAGAAAAAAAGUCAGUACAAACUAAAAUUUUACAUAGACUGACUUGUUUAUACUGCUUUAUGUACUACACACUGACAUUGCGCUGUGACACUCUUGUCUUUUUAGGUCUGAUUUUGUUGCAGUAGUUUUAAAGUGAGGUGAAACUUGGGCAUACGCAAGACAAAUCAGAGUCCUGAAAGGGGUACAAUAGUCUGGAAAGGUUGAGAGCCACUGGUCUACACAGUCGCAUCAUUCGGCACUGCACCAUUUCCAAUCCAGACUGCAUCCUACAGGGGAUGUGUCAAGAUCACAGAUUGUUAUUAAUUUAGUCAUGUGAAAUGAACCAUGAAAUAAAGACAGAAA